GUGCUCGCCUCCUCAGCACAUAUACUAAAAUUGGAGCAAUAGAGAGAAGGUUAGCACGGCCCUGCACAAGGAUGGCACGCAAAUUUGUGAAAGUUCCACAUUUAA